CACGUAGGGUGCGAGCGUUGUCCGGAAUUAUUGGGCGUAAAGAGCUCGUAGGCGGUGUGUCGCGUCGGCCGUGAAAACCUGCAGCUUAACUGUGGGCUUGCGGUCGAUACGGGCAUCACUGGAGUUCGGCAGGGGAGACUGGAAUUCCUGGUGUAGCGGUGAAAUGCGCAGAUAUCGGGAGGAACACCAAUGGCGAAGGCAGCUCGCUGGGACGGUACUGACGCUGAGACGCGAAAGCGUGGGGAGCAACAGG
rnacentral:rRNA from 1 species